rfam:Fukomys damarensis contig81272, whole genome shotgun sequence.
AUCGCUUCUCGGCCUUUUGGCUAAGAUCAAGUGUAGUUGACCAAAUUGUGAGUGAGAUAUUGAAGCCUUCCCUUCUGACUGUAUUAUUGUCUAUUUCUCUUUUUAGCCUGAAUAGUUUUAAUUCAUGAAGUUGGAUGCACCAACAUGCCUUACACAGAUAUCUAGAAUUGUUAUGUCUUCUUGUUGAAUCAUUUCCCU